GAAGGGGACGAUCAGUAUCCAGUCUGAAGCUGGCACAGGUGCUGCAUGGCUGUCGUCAGCUCGUGCCGUGAGGUGUAUGGUUAAGUCCCAUAACGAGCGCAACCCUCGUCGCUAGUUAAUUUCCCUAGCGAGACCGCCUCGGCAAAACGGGGAGGAAGGUGGGGAUGACGUCAAGUCAGCAUGGCCUUUAUACCCUGGGCGACACACACGCUACAAUGGGUGGUAUAAUUGGUAGCGAAGGAGCGAUCCGGAGCAAAUCCUUAAAACCAUCCUCAGUACGGAUUGCAGACUGAAACCCGCCUGCAUGAAGCCGGAGUUGCUAGUAACCGCAUAUCAGAAUGGUGCGGUGAAUACGUUCUCGGGCCUU
rnacentral:rRNA from 1 species